GGGGCGGCCGAGCUCCGGGGAGCGAGCGAGAGGGCGGUCGAAGGCGGCGGCCGACGGCAGGCGGCGCUGGGGCUAGCGCUCCGGGCGAGUCAACAAGUGCCGUGUUUACCGAGCGCCUGCGGGACGCGCACGUGGGCGGGAGGGGCCCCGGGGUCGCCGGCACCUCCCGACCUAGCGGGGACGACGCGCACCACCCGUCUGCGCUCGGCCUCGCCUUUGGUGAGGGUCCCACGCUCCCGAUGAUGGGCGUGGGCACCUGGGUGGGCCUGGGCCCUGACCAUUGGCACUUUCACCCUCGGUUAGGUGGUCAGGAGUGAGAAUCUGAUGGCAUUUGGUGCCCAGGAGGGCGGGAUGGAGGUAGCUGUCACUGGCCAGACAAGAUUUCUCACCCUGCGCACCUUUCAGCCUGAAAAUCCUGUCCAGGGUUUUUUCCCGGUCUCCCCAAAACCCUGCUCCCAGCAGUCGGGCCCACCUCUGAUUUUCUCAGGGUUAAGGUUUGAAGGAAGUGUAGAAAUCCAUCCGGGGGGCCUCCCUGCCUUCAGGAUGAAGGCUCUGUACUCACAGGGAUGCCCUGUGACACCUGUGCUGUGAGGUAGAAGCCCCCUUUCGUGGGCUGCAGCCAGGGCUCUGCUGGGAAGUCUGGAAUUUUGUCCCCUGCCUACUGCUCAGAAGGCUGAGAACCUGAUUAUCCCGCGUGUGCCUGUCUGUGACACCCACACCCCUGGAGGUGGCCCUGGGGAGAGGUGUGAGGUGGAAAUGCCUCCUUUGUGAGUUCAGGGGCCCAGGGGGUGAGCAGGUCUGGGGGAACCCUCGAUCCCCGGCAUUUGGAGGUCUGGGAUUUCAGAGUGUCCCUGGACGCCCUGGUAGGAGCUUUGGUGGGGCCAGGGCUGCAGUCCAGUCUCUGGCUCUCAACGUGCCCGCCCCUCAACACACCUGGAGAGACUGUGGCUGUCUGCACGUGCCCCUCCAUCCUCCUGCUUCUGACACCCACUUGGCCUCCCAUCUCUUGUGGGGGGAGGGAGGGAACAGAAGCACCAGAGCCAUAAGCUUGGUUUCUNNNNNNNNNNCUGCCGCAUUUUCCCGACAAGCGCUCUGCACCUGCUGCCUGCCUCUUGGCGCUACGCCUCCCCUCUUAAUCCUGCUGCCCAGCUGCUGGCCCCACCACGUUGCUAAAGCUGCUUCCUUGGAAGCCAGCUUGUUUCCAAACACUGAUUUCUUCUUCCCUCUUGGCCUGAUCCCGCUGCCAUUGCUUCUGCCCGGGAGGUGGGUUGCUGUGCGCACGUGCCCUGUCUGCAGCCUUCUCUGCUGUCAUUUCUCUCCUGGUUUUGUUCUUCUUUCUCCAUCAUUCCUUCUCCUCUUCUGAGGCCCCUUCCCUCUUUGCUGGGAUGUUUUGAGAGGCCCAUGUUUAUCUUCUCAGAGAACUCGCUUUGGAAGCUGUCAGGGAAUUCCCCUCACCCCCAGAUUCUAGUCCUUGGCCUAGCUCCUGGAAUGCCCAAUGACACCUGAAGAUCACCGUGUCCUCCUGACUCCCCAGCAGUGGGUUUCCUGCCCCUCUGUCAUACCCUCUUUUCCCUGAAGUGCCUUGCCUCUCCUGCCCUUUUGUACCCAGGCUUCUGCUCCAGGCCUCGAAAGUCUCAGGCCAGAGUUCAGAGGCCCCUUUGGCUGAUCUGAUGCCAGAAUCCUUUCCACCUCCCACAGUCCAUCUGGCAUGUCACC
ensembl:lncRNA